rnacentral:rRNA from 1 species
CGGGUGGUAAUGCCGGAUGCUCCGGUUGGAUGCAUGUCCUUCCGGGAAAGAUCCGUCGGUAUGGGAUGGGGUCGCGUCCUAUCAGCUUGAUGGCGGGGUAACGGCCCACCAUGGCUUCGACGGGUAGCCGGCCUGAGAGGGCGACCGGCCACAUUGGGACUGAGAUACGGCCCAGACUCCUACGGGAGGCAGCAGUGGGGAAUAUUGCACAAUGGGCGCAAGCCUGAUGCAGCGACGCCGCGUGCGGGAUGGAGGCCUUCGGGUUGUAAACCGCUUUUGAUCGGGAGCAAGCCCUUCGGGGUGAGUGUACCUUUCGAAUAAGCACCGGCUAACUACGUGCCAGCAGCCGCGGUAAUACGUAGGGUGCAAGCGUUAUCCGGAAUUAUUGGGCGUAAAGGGCUCGUAGGCGGUUCGUCGCGUCCGGUGUGAAAGCCCAUCGCUUAACGGUGGGUCUGCGCCGGGUACGGGCGGGCUGGAGUGCGGUAGGGGAGACUGGAAUUCCCGGUGUAACGGUGGAAUGUGUAGAUAUCGGAAAAAAAACACC